GUGGAGGUGGUGCCGCCGUCUAAACCCAAGAUGACGUCUCCGGCGCCGGCGGCCACCGGCAUUUGGUUCUCAAAGUCCCAGACUUCGCCAUUCCUGUACCGCUUCAUCUGGGUUUUUGGUGGUGAUUGGAUUGAAUUGGAUUUGAGUGUUUGUUUUGACGAAUCAGAGCUUUAAAAGGCUCCAAUGGAGGCGUGCUCUCUCUGUCAAAGACACAUACGGAUAAUAGGAAGAGAACAAGGAAGAGGGUUGGGGGAGUCAGAUGUUUUUGGGACCGUGUUCAAAAGAAAAUAAUAUUCAUUUCAAAUGGUGGGGUUUUUUUUGUUUUGGUUCUCGGACGGCAAAAUGGGGGGCCAUAAAUAAAUUUAUAACUCAUAUGCUAAUGAUUAUUAUUUCUAAUUGAAGAUGCUUUAUGCAUAACUAGCUACUUGGCACAUGCAUGAUUUUUUUUUUUUUAAUUUAAAAAAAAAAAAUAUGGAUAGUUAUGUUCCAUAAAAAUAGAAUUUAUUAUUUAAUUUUACUUUUAUUUUUAUUUUUUUAAAUAUGAAAAAAUGUGAAUUUACCAUAUUAUUCUAAUUUAAUUAAUAAUUUUAAUUCUUAUUAUUUGAAUUAACCAAGAGCAUUUUUGGUAUUUUGAAUGUUUCACCAUUCUCUGUCUUUUGCUUUAUAUAUAUAGAUUCUGUUCUUUGAUGAUUUGGAAUUUUUUCUCAUAGAUUAUUUUCUUUACUUCUGUCAAAUUCUUUCAAAUAUUUUGUUAAAUUCUUUCAAAUAUGGUUUGGGACAGUUUAGUCGUAUCAUGGGUUGAUUAAAUUAUGGUUGUAUUUCUUUGCUUCCAUUAUCAUUUUGACGUUUUCAAUUUUUUAUUUUAAUGGCAUUCCAAACAUAAUUCACAAUAUCUAUUUAGAACUAAUCCCAUGGAAAGCUAAAAACAACCCUUGCAGCUAAAGCAAGAUGGUGCACUUGAAUUCACAUUUGCAAUCAACUAACCAAUUCAUGUACAUGUUGAACAGAAUUAUGUAUUGUUAAAGGUGUGGUAUGGAUAAGAAAGACUAUGCAAUCCUCCCAAACCAAAGUCCCAAGCUAAAAUACUGAUGACAGUUGCUCUGCUUCCAUUCUAGAAUGCAAGGCGUUGGCAAGUUGGGGAAAUGAGGGUUUUCCAACCAACGAUCAAGGUUCAAGCAGGAGGGCAUCGAUGUUCCGUUUUCCUUCUGGGCCCUUUGUGUACCAUGAUGACACAUAAUCUCCAUAAACAAUUUCCCGGUAGAGGGGAGGAGUUAACGCACUGGUAAGCUCAGAAGCAGGGGAUACUUUCACCGUCUUGGCUGGAUCAUGAAAUGUAGCAACUGAGAGCCGUGCCUGAUUGGAAUUGGUUAAAGCCCUAUGUUGAGCACUCCUGUACUUCCCAUUGGUCAUUAUCUGCAGGCAAGAUAAUCCACUGUUAGAGAAUAAACAUAAUUCACAUGAUUGCUCCACUUGUUCAAUUAAUUUCAUUCUACAAAACAAAUCCUAUGAAAGAAAACGCACUUGGAUCCAAAGAAUGACAAGAAUCCUGUAAAGCACAUGUUGGCGAUCCGAUUAUCAGCUUAGAGAGAAGACAUUGAUAGGUAUAAGCCUCAAGCACUGCAUUUUUUAGUUUCAGAUCGUCUCAGCUCAAGUCCACUAGGUACAAUCCAAAACUGAACCACUUAAAUCAGUACCUUUGAGUAUUGAUCCAAGGCCCCAACAGUGAAAGUCAGUUUCGUAGUGGUUGGAUUAAUUAGAGGUUCCUCUACAUGUCACAGUUAUUUGUGAUCUAAAUUAAAUCCAAUUAUUACGACAAAUCAGAAAGGACAAUGACCAAGCCUCAAUGUGUUCCAUGGGACCCAAACUUAAUAUCCCUAACCAAAUCAUAUAAGAACAAUGAAAAAACAUAGAAAAAUAAGUACAACUGAGGGUUGAUGUCAUGCCAAUGUCUAGAAAUAGUGGUUGUCAAUGACAUCAAACAAUUAGCAGCUUCAUUGAAGACAAAAUAAAGUGCUUAAAAAAAUUAUGGCUUAACCCUUGCACGAAGUGUAAAAGCAGGCCUAUGAUAUACAGUGUGACUCCUUAUAGACUGACAGAUUUUGCAACAUGUGAAAUUUUUAGUAUGUCAUGACCAACAGCAACUAAGAGCACAUAUACCAAGCAGUAGGUCUUAACUUGGUUGGCUACACAUACAGUCAACGUAGAGCCAUAUUAACCUAUGUUUAUUCUCAAACCAUUUGUCCUAAUUGACCAAGAAUGAACAAAAACCAAACCAAAGAAAACAAAAAUAAGGUUACUUGGUCAGCUUGUCCUCAGGUCCCCUCAAACGAAUACUAUAAUAACAGGCUGAAAAUCAAUACGUCAAGCAAAUAUAAAACAAAAACGAUCAGAAGCCUGGCCAAGACCGACAGAUAAGCACAACUACCCAGACAAAAACGUUGAUGUCUCUAGACAUAAUAGAACAUAUUGCUACCAGUACCACUUGAUUCAAUUCAAUAUCAUCGAGAAGCCUAAAAGCUAAAAGAAUACCAUGAAAUACACUCAUCACGAUUCAUCCACUGAGAGUUUCCUGGGAUUCAAGCAUAUUUUUAUCUGGAGAAAAUGUGAUUCGGCAAACUAUAAUUCCAAAGCAUCAUGGUAAUGGACUGAAUAUAUUUAAGAAGGCAUAAGCAUCAACUGACAACGACUCAGCUUCUCUUAUUAAUAAUAAAAUUAAAGAAGGCACAGUACAAGACACUUCUCCAUGCCUAUUUUAUUUCAGAAAAUCCUUCGAAUCUUUUAAUAGACUAAUACAAAGUCAUAACAAAGAAAGUUGAUCAUAGCAAUUUGACACUGUUCAAGAUAAGUUAAACUCACUGCAUUCUAAUUUCUACUGCCCUCCUUUCUUUCUCACCAAUUUAGCUCAUUUCUUUCUAAAAAUGAAAACUGCAAAUUUUUCAUAGUUUGGUCCGCUAAAAGAAGAAUACGAAGGUGUGUGUUUGAUGUUUGAUAGAUGAUGAGGUACCUCGGUUUGGUCAGCUAGAAGAACAACAAUGGCAUCACCACCCAAAGGCUUCACAGGAACCCACUCUCCGUCUUUAAGCACCUCAAGCCCACCCACCUCGUCCUGGACCAACAGCGUAAUCGCACCAAAAUCCGAAUGGGCCUGCAGGCCCAAAGUCAGCUCAGGCUGAGGACACGGUGGGUAAUAGCUGAUCGUAAUGUUCUGCCAAAACUCCCCAACCGCCUCCUCUAAACGCCGCGUUUCAAGCCCCAGGCUCUCGGACGCCAGCCCCAGCAGCUCUCGCGCCAGCGAAGCAAUUUGAUCGCUGUACUCGGAAACCACCUGGCGGUAAUCUGCGGGGAAAUGGGGCCAUCGCGUGGGGUUCCGGCGCCGGAGGGGGAGGGUGUGGUGAUCGAAGUAGUCCCUCCAGUCCAAAACGGUGUCGUCCUUCUCCAGCAUCCGGCUGCCGUAGCCCUCCGACGCCGACGAGCUCGGAUCGCACGCAUACUUGAGUUUGUCUUCGACUGAGCUGUCGUUGAAGAAGGUGAGGCCCGCGCGCUUGAUGGCGUCGACUAUGCUGGCAGGAACGCCGUGGUUGGUGACGUGGAAGGCGCCCCAGUCCCGGCAGGCUUGCCCAAUUGAGGCCCGAACUGAAUCACGUCGGGUCGGGUCGAGGCCGAAAAGGUUGAUGAGCGGAAUGUUGGUUGAAGAAGAAGGUCGAUUGGGUCGGUGCUGGGGAGGUUGAAUGUAUUGUGGCGGGACUUGGUUGAGGCCGGCUUGGGCUAAGCUUUGAACUCUGAUGGGCUCCGCUGAUAUUUCCAUUUCUAUCGAAUUGGAAUGAAUUUACAGAGAAAGAUACAGAGCGAUGUGAUGAUGAAGACGAUGAUACCGAUUUUAUAGUCCGGAGUUAUUCAAGCAUAUAAAAAACUGUGCUUUUUGUUAUUUCUUUCCCGGCAGAAAAUAAAUACGUUCAGUAAAGAAGCGCUGUAUUUACUGAUUAAUUAAAGUGAUUGGCAAAAUUUAUUUGGGUUACAAAAUUGAGCAACAUACGCUACGUCAGGAGAAAACUUACACAGCGAUGCUAAGUCAUUUCAAGCCUAUCAUGUAUUGUCAGUGUCGGUAGGGGCAAUCAAUGCGACGAUGGCCAAAUUUUAUUAUUUAUUUUUAAUAAAGAGUUAUAUUAUAUUAAUUAUAUAUUUUUUUAAUAUUUUAAAUAAAUUUUGAAAAAAAACAAGAAGCAAAAUGGGUGUUCUAACUCUUUUAAGCUCUAAUUGAUUGUAAAUUUGAAAAUUUUAAGCUUCUUGUUGUGGAGGGGGAUUUGAUUUCUCAAAUUCCAAGUUAUGUUGUUCUUUGUUUAUUAUUUGAAGUAUUAAAAUUUCAUUGGAUUUCUUUGUAAUGUUUCUAAUUUCAAGUAGCAAUGAUUCCUAAAAACAACAAUCUUGAAGUCAAAAAAGAAAAAGAAAUGAUUGAAUUGUUACAAGUAUUUAUCUUGUUUAUGCAUUAUAUUUGAAUGUCUCAAGCGUAUCCUCUUAUUUUAGAUUUUUAUAUAUUGAAAUUUCAGUUUAUAUAAUUUAUUUGACUUGAAUGUUAAAUUUUUAGUUAAAUUCAAAUAAGUUAAAUCUUGAUUGAAAACUGAGAGUGAGUCUAGCACUUCAAGAGAAAAAAAAAUUAUAUAUAGCUUAAGGGUCUACUUUUUUACAUUUGCCUUAGGUCCUGAAAAAUUCAAGACCAGCUAUGUGUAUUGUUAUGUCGAAAAGUUAAAACACAUAACAAUAGGCGAUUGGCUCGAAAUAGUGCCAUAAUGCUAUCCUGAUAUUGGUAAAAUUUUCUCACAUAUGAGAACUGUAAAGACCCAAACCUAAAAUUCACAUGUAAUUAGUAAUUUAUUAUGCGGAAAGACAAUUUUGCCCUUUGACUCACUUAUGAACUCAACGUUGACUUUUUGACCAAAAAGGAAUAUGACAAUUUCACAUACACCGUUGCGUAGAGCACGAUGACACGAGUUCAUAGACACGAAGUAAGCUCGAAUUGGAGUUUAACGAAGAAAAUACGAUUACAAUAUCACGAGGGGCAAAAUGGUAAAUUGGAAAAUCAGAUUUUAUAAAAUCUUUUCUCUCUCUCUCUUCCCCAUCAGUUUCUCUCUCCUCUCUCUCUCUCUCCCGCGCGCGACGUCCGUCGCCUCCUCCCUUCCCGUCACCACACCAGCCACCACAGGGCACGCCGAUCUCCGGCGUUGGUACCAGCAGCUUCGUCUCGCCGCCGCCGUCACGCCACGACCUGCCUCCACCCCUGCACCGGCUGGAGCUCGCCGGAAACUGGAGGAGAACCGCCGGUUUUAGGCAAAACUUCAUCUCCUUCGUUCUCUCUCAAUUCUCAACCAAAUCGUUCGAGUAAGGUAUGGAUUCUCACCUAUUUUUCAUGCUCUAGCUGAUGGUUGGAUAGGUUUUGAUCGAUUUCAGCCGUAGAUCACUCGAUUUUUGAAUUGAAAUUCGGCCGACUUUCGGCCUCCGUGUUCGGCCACUUCCGAUCAGUUUUUGGGGUAGGUCCAAGAAUAAAAGUGACUCCAAAUGGGGUGUUUUACCUAGGAUAGGAGUUUUGAGUCCUAGUUCCGCGAUUUUUCGACCACCCGAAAUUGCUUAAGACACCCAAAUCUUCCCGCGCGUGCUGGGGCGCGUGGGCGAGGGUGGUGAAGUAAUUUUGUACAGUUUUGUGACCCUUGUGUCGUCACGAGCGCGUAGGAUUUCGCGGAUCUCGAUUCGGAGUUCGUUUGAGCCCCGAACGGAUUUUUCAUAUCGCGCGAUCCUUGGGUGCAGUGUCGUCAAAUUGUUGGAUCACACUGAAUUUUGGAUAUGUCGGUCUACAUGAUUUCAGGAUCGUGUAGGAGUCGACGGAUUGCGAAUCGGAGUCCCGGAUACUCCGAAAUCGCGAACCCUAGGGCUAGGGUUUAGAAACUAUGCGAUUACACGGUCGUGAUUAAUCCGACCGUCCGAUUGACACCAAUACCCUCGGGACAUGUGUCCUAAAUAUAUUAGACCUUCUAGCGGCAUCCGGAUCAUAUUGUACCCGUGGGGUUCCAGAUUGACUUUUUGGACUUUAGCGCUUUUGAGUCCCAAGAUACCGCUAAACGAUCCCACGUGGAAGGAAAGCUGUUAUGGGCAUAGGGAUCACUUUAAAUUGACGCACGUACUUUUAGGAGCGGGGAUAGGGUUUUUAAUUUAAUACUAUAUUGUAUUAAUAGAAUAUUAUGGUCAUUGAAUCAGGCACCCGGGCACCAGUUGACCCGCAGGAGGGACCUUCAAGAGGUCCAGCGAGUUUGGACUAUCAGUGAGUGGACUCUUUGUUUUCAUAAAGGAAUUUAAGCAGUUCAAUUUCAGUUAUUAGCUGUUUUAUUCUGUUAAAUAUUUUAUGUUGCAUGCUGCCGAGUGACAUUUCUGUUAAAGACUAUAGAAACAGAUAUUCUUGUUCAUUAUCAGAUAAAUGGCAGCAAAAUUUUAAAGGUUACAGAAAGUUAAUUAUUCAACAGAUUUCCUUCAGAAACUUUAUAUUUUCUUAAAUCACCUUGUACCCAGUUAUUAAAUGUUGCCUUCGAUUUAUAGUGGUUGCCUUCGUUUAGUCAGCAUGCUUGACAGUUGCCCCACGAGUUCCUUGGUACUCGAACUCGUGUGGAGCGAGUAAUGCGGAUAAAGGUGGACUACGGUCCCCUGAAUCCUGCGAGUUGCGGCUCAGACUGACUUCGUGUCACUGAGACCUGCGAGUAUGUGUCACCCAUGGUGAUGCAAGGAAUUGACGGAUAUAAGGAAUUGACGGAAAUAAGGGUACACCAAGGUGAUAGUUUAAACUGUUUUCAAAUGUAUAGUUAUAUACAUGCAUUGAUUUCAGAAAUAAAGAAAAUAAGUUAGUUUGUAUAACUGUUUUUACAGUGGGGUUAGUAUGUUCAUAUAUUAUUUUCGAAGCUUUGUUUUGGGUCCACUCACCCUUCUUGUUGUUUUGCGCCCCCAGGCAGUAGACGUGCACAUGAAUCCAUCACCGGGCCACUUCCCAUCUUCCGUGCCUUUCUUUGAUGUAGGAUUUGUAUUUUGUACAACGAUUCACUCUUUUGUAAAUUCUUAGCAGUCGCUCUGAUGUUUUGCCCUAGAUUGAGUUUGAUCUCUUGGAAUGUAUAUAUACAUAUGCUGGCAGUUGGUUGUAUAUAUGUAUACUUGUUUGGCAUGUGUGAAUGUUUUGGUAUUGAGCCAGUUACAAGGGAAACUCUGCCGGUUUUUCGGUAGAAGUCAACCUUGUUAUUUUAUCGUGUUUUGUAUAGAAGGGCAAAUAGGUCUUUUGUGCCCGACAUUUGCCAAAUGUCGGACACGCACAGGGUCUGACUCGGAUUCCAAAGCGGAAUUUGGAUCGGUCCUGUCAAGAACUCAUAAUAACAUAAAGAACAAAAAAAAAAAAAAAACAUGCUUUUUGUACAAGAAUUGUAGUUGGUCUUCUUUGGUUUAUCAUUUGGACUUGGACACUCGUUUUUAUGUCAAAAAAAGGAAAAAGAUCCGGGUGAAGUAAUGUUAUGCAAGUAUGGAAUGCAGGGCUCAACUUUGGUGCCAAAAUUGACCUUAAAAAUUGACCAACAGUAAAAGACCAGGCCCCCACAGUAAAAUUUGAUGAUAAUACAGUGGGCUUGAACAAUCUGUGUAUCUGGGUUUGGUUUGACUGAGCACCUUAUCCCAAAUUCAUAUUCCCCUCUCUCAAUUCCUCUGUGAGAAAGACACAGCCUUUGAUUUGUACUUGAAAUUUUUUUUCCUCACAAAACCCACAAUGCCACCACCAGCCACUCUCUCAGCUUCAUCUUCCUUCACUCUCCUCUCUCCAUCUCCCUCCCCAAAACCAAAGUUCCCUUCUUUCUUCCCCAAAAGACACUCCUUCGCAAUCAACCCACGUCACCAUUCCCUCCACUCAGUUCCCUCCUCCACCGUCCGAUGCGCCGUCAUCGAGAAAGAAACCCCGGAGGCCCAGCGGCCCGACACCUUCCUCCGCGCCAACUCCUCGUCGUCCUCCGUGCGGGCCCGCUUCGAGAAGAUGAUAAGAGAAGCCCAAGACACCGUCUGCGCCGCCAUUGAGGCCGCGGACGGCGGUGCCACCUUUAAAGAGGACGUGUGGUCGAGGCCCGGUGGCGGUGGAGGCAUCAGCAGGGUCCUCCAAGACGGCGCCGUUUGGGAGAAGGCCGGUGUCAAUGUCUCUGUUGUCUACGGCGUUAUGCCUCCCGAGGCAUACCGAGCUGCCAAGGGUGCCGCCGCAGCUGAUCACAAGCCGGGCCCGGUUCCUUUCUUCGCCUCCGGAAUUAGCUCGGUAAUUUCGUGAGUUCUGCUCGUUUUGUGAAAAAAGAAAGAAGAAAAUGUUGGGUUUUUAUUUUGUUUGUAUAAUAUAUGGGCCUGCGGUUUGGUUGUGAUUGUUUUCAGGUUUUGCAUCCAAAGAACCCUUUUGCACCUACUUUGCAUUUCAAUUAUCGGUAUUUCGAAACGGAUGCUCCGCAAGGUAUGAAUGUGAUCAUUUCUCAUAUCUUUAAUGUGGAUUGCACAUUGCUUAGUUAGGUUGCGUUUGUAGGUAGGUAGGUAGGCAGGCAUGAACCCAGCUUUGGUGGUAUUACUAAUGAAGUAGAUGAUCUCUAAAUGAGUUCAGCAUUUUAUGUCAUGCUUGUGUUGAAUAAUGCAAAACCAAGGAUAUCAAAGAUUGGGAAAGGUAAAGGUUAAAUUUGGAUAUAAAUGUGUACGUGUUAUUAUGAUGAAAACUGUUAAACCCAGAAAACAUAAUUUGACGGGCACUAGAUUAUGCUCACAUGCUAGAAAUGAUAUGUUGAGAUUCUGAUUACUUCCCUUUAUGGGUUGAUUAACAAUCAGUAAUAAUGAUAGUUGCAAUGCUGAUAAUAAUACUAGCAGUUGUGAUAGUAGAAACAAUAAUAAGAUUGACUAUAGGGAUAAGAUAUUUCUUCUCGUCAGUUUCUGGAAAGUGUUCAGUCAGUGAUGUGGUAGAGAAGAUGAGGCAGAUAUCAUAUCACUAAUAAGUUUCUUUUUCCCUUGUCCCAUGCUUGAAAGUUUGCAUUUCCUUAUAUCACUCGUGUAUAAAUAAUUUAUGAAUAAGAAAGCUCUUUGGACCCUGAUUCGUCACAUUUAUGCAGAUGUUCCUGGAGCACCUAGGCAAUGGUGGUUCGGUGGCGGAACUGACUUGACACCUGCUUAUAUUUUUGAGGAGGAUGUUAAGCAUUUUCAUCAAGUAUGUAAAACAAAACAGACAACAUCCCUUAUGGUGUUUUGUGAUUAAAGUCCCACUUCUUUUGAAAAAUUCGGUGGCUUUAACUAACUGUAUAGUGGUGUUGGCCUUCUUCUGUAGGUCCAGAAAAGUGCUUGCGACAAAUUUGAUCCUACCUUCUAUCCUCGGUUCAAGAAAUGGUGUGAUGAUUAUUUCUAUAUUAAGGUAUAUUUCUUACUAAACCCUUUUAAUUGUUAUGUGUUAUAAAUUUGUAAUAUGGUGUUGAUGGUACAUAUAUCAUUUCUGUAUGCAGCAUCGAGAUGAGAGGCGAGGGCUUGGAGGAAUAUUUUUUGAUGAUCUAAAUGACUAUGAUCAGGAGAUGCUUCUUUCCUUUGCCACUGGUAUUGCUUGGAAAUAUAGAUUCUUUUUUCUUUUCUUUUUUUUCGGUUGUAUUUUCCAUUAAUUAUUUCCUACUAGUUGAGUGACUGCAUCCACUUCCUGCAUGCACUUCCGUUGAGUUGAAGAAUGUGCAAAUUCUGUGGUCCCUGCUUACAUACCAAUUAUAGAGAAAAGGAAGGAUCUACCAUUUACAGAUCAGCAAAAGGCAUGGCAGCAAUUGCGAAGAGGGCGCUAUGUUGAAUUCAAUUUGGUAUGAAGAGCCCUGAAGAUGUUAGUGAAAUUCAUAUCAGCAAUUAAUAUGCAAAUGAGGCCUAAUUUCCGUUUUCUUUUAAACAAAAGGUUUAUGAUCGUGGAACAACUUUUGGACUAAAGACGGGAGGUCGAAUUGAGAGUAUUCUUGUCUCUCUUCCACUGACUGCUCGGUGGGAAUAUGACCAUGUAAGCUUACUGGUUUUCUCUGUACGAUACUUUAUUUCUGGUACUACUGAAAAAUGGAGCGCCUUGAAGUUUUGAACUCAUAAUUGAGAGCAAUCUUAUUGUUUGCUGUGCAGAAACCAGAAGAGGGAAGUGAAGAAUGGAAACUGUUAGAUGCUUGCAUCAACCCAAAGGAGUGGGUAUAAUGUUCUAAAUGUAUGUUUGUAUCAUUUUGAGAUUUUUACUUCUUUUUCCCCACUCCUCGUCUUUCUUCUAUCAUCUUCCCUUCAAUUUUUUUCUUCAAUAGUUGAGGCUAGAAGUUAGCAGUCGAUAUCUUGUUGAAAAGUAAUCCAAUACAUGUUGAAGGUGAUGUGAGUUGUGAAUCAUGUUAGAAUUGUCAUCUUUUGUAAGACUGGAAACUCUUCUUGCCCAGUGAAUCUGUAGUCGAUUAAGAUUUCCCAACUUCUUCAUAUCCUGUAAUAUAAUCUAAUACAUGCACCGGGUGAUUUCGUUUUUUCCCCUGCACGGAAACAAGCUUGGAAAUGAGUACGAGAUUCUUCUCAUGUUUGGUUAGAGCACAAUGUAUCCUACAGGGGAAAAUCCACAUGAACAUGAGAAGGGUGGGUUUUCCGUUUUCAUGGGUUUUAAAACCCAUAUACAUUUCUUUGAUCAAAGAAACAAAAACCCAUAUACAUUUCCAAAAGGAGAUGGGUUUUCAUUCUCAUUUCUAGUCCUAGUUUUAGCAGCUUUGAAAUAAAAUGGUAAUGGCAAUAAAACCUUUAUAUUUUUACUUAAUUUGAAUUGAAUCAUCCAAGGGAGGCUUUAAUUUCCAAUUGUCUGGUGAAGCAUCGCAUGGUUAAUCAAAAAGUUGCUUAAUGAAAGAUCUUGCAAAUCAAGUGAUGUAAAAAUACGGGCAUAAAUGAAUGAAUUAAUUAGAAAGAUCUUGCACAGAUACUUACAUUAUAACCUAAACUAGAAAACUUCAAAUAUGUAUUAUAUGGACAUAGAAUUUUUCAUGGAGCGUAGGCCCCUCUAGUUAGAUGUGGUAUGAUGAAUGAUAUGCAAACUCCAAGUCGCAAGAGACUUGUAACUCAAGUAGUUAAAGCGAACAUAUACAAAGCGAAGGUAUUGACUCCAUAAUGGUGGUAUGACUCAGAUAUGUUUGUACCACUUCCAGUUAUGGGUGAAACUAAACUCUCUACGUACAAAAUGAUUAAUCAUGUCGAUACUCAUGUACAGAAAAGUCAUCAUACAGCAAACAACCAUCCUUGUAGUGAAGAAGGUAAUAGCAGUUGUCACAGAAGUAGCAGGGGUUCUCCUGAGCCCACUUGUCAUCUAUAGUCACCUGUGUUGCUCUAAAUAUUUUACAAACAUAACAUUUUCGUAUAUGUGGCUUCAGUUGAAAUAAGAGUAUCGGAUAGGCUGCCCUGUUUUGUACAUCCUGUGGAUGAAUCAAUCUCAUGUCUCUAAUUACAAUUGUAUGUCUGCAGUCUCCCUGUUUCAAAUCAUUUCCCCAAAUCGACAUCAACAACCGUCAACAGAGAUGCAUAAAAAGUUUAUCAAGAUUCUCACAUACAGAAAAAUACGUUGUAAAGCACAAAAUAAUGUUUCCCUUACAGAAAGGCAUGAAAAGAUGGCAAUAGAGAUCUGUACCUGGUGACAAUAUAGAUAUCCAGCACCAAGUCGAAAUUUCAAGUCACAAAACUGCGUCUUGUGCAUGUCAACGGCUCUGAAAUGAGGCAACUGUGAGCCCGUAACAUCACCUACAACUGCUUUUUGCUUCGUUUGCAAUCCUCCAGCUGCAAUCCAUUCCCAUUUUUUAAGAGCUUCGUCUUUAGAAUUUCUAAGCCAAUCAAAUAUAGGUUCACUAUAAUCUACUGCUGAGGGAUCCCUCAAAUCGUUGCACAAUGUAUCCUACAUAGGAUCAGCAAUAUGCUAGAUUUCAGUGCAAAUUCCGUCCUCAUCAUGAAAAUAAACAAUAAAUGGAUAGAUUUCUUACUUCUAUAAGGAAAUAUCCUGAAGGGUCAUGCUGCUUAGCCUUUUGCAUCACAUGGUCCGCUAAGCAGUAGAUCUUAUCCCUCAGUUCGGUCAAGGUUUGUUGUCCAAGGACCAAGAACUCUUGGUUCUGCAAACAAUCUUACUUCGUCAAUAACGGCAGGAACUUGAGGAAAGAAUUAUGUGAGUAAUGAAAAAGAGUGCUACAUAAAUAAGACAUGAAUGACUUGAAAUUGCUUUUAAUUCAUCUUUUCCCAGACUCAUAGAGGCAAAGAAAUCCUGUAACAGAAGGAAGGAAACCUAACUACUUUUUUCUGGUCUAUCUUUUCCCUAAACAAUACUAAAGAAGAAGAUGAACAUUCUCAGAGAACACAAGUCUGAUGAAGAAAAUAUAAAUCACAAGUCUAUUGGAUGAAAUUUUUGGUCUUGCUCCACUCGCAAUGGACUACCAAUUUAUUGGAGGUGACUCAGCCACAAGGGACCUAAAACCCUACCUGUAAGAACCUAGCUAACUCAAACCAACUCCAGAUUAAAAUGGAGAGACACAUCCAGUUGUUCUUUAGGCUUAACUCUGAGAACUUCCCAGUAUAGAGUUACACAUACCAUGACUUUCUUUCAUAUUUGUACAAAGAUUAAUAUCCCAAUCCACAGAGAAGCUCCCACUCAGGAAUGAAAGCAUCCUCAGCCAGCUAGGUUCGAGCAUGGAUAUCUUUGUUUCUGGAGCUUGUGGUCAAUGUUUGUAUCCUAUGAAGCGUGUGCUUUUUAAAAAUGAAGAAUUGCACUUGCACACAUCUCAAUUAUAGAGACAUAUCAGAUAUUUUAACCCUACAAAUCAGAAGCCCACGAAAAAUGCUAGCAUGAUACCUUGACUAGUAGGAACCAUAUAAUUGGCAAACAAACACCAAAACCAAAAGCUACUCUAUUUGACAUAAGCAAGAAGAUGCUAUACCUUCACCCAUUUUCGCGCAUUAUGGUAAACCUCAAUGGAAAGAGCAACUUCUGGAUAGUGCACAGGUACGUAGCCCUGAAUGUUGGAUGACUUUACCUGUUUGCAUAAGAGGGGGAAAAAAAGCAUAGAUAUUAUCAACCAUCUGAGAAGUCAGAGCCAGCAAAUUGAACAUGACUGCAUGAAAACAUUCACAAUAGGCAACUCUUAAGCAAACCUUCACUGCUGAACUUGCAGAUCUGAGGGGUUUCAUCCUAUCAAUUGUCCUUGAGGAUGUAAUGGCACAAUCAUUGACCUUCGAACUAGGGCUGAAUCACCAUAAGAAAAACAAUAAGUUGAAGAUGUGAGAAAAUUCAUUGAGUGAGUUACAUAGUCAUUCUACUAACUUGAACGAAUGCAGUGUCACAGCAGCUUUGUCUUCAUCUUGCUUCUCUUUGAUUCUUCUAACAUGCUCCACCUUUGCAAUAUAAGUUUCCUGGAAUGUGGCAGCAAUUAAGUUGUGAACAUGAUAACAAAGAUAUGACUUGAACAUAAGCAAGGACAAUGAAAAAUGUAAUGCAACGACAAGAAUCCUAGAUUGCAGGACCCUUACUAGGCAUGCAGUUGGGAAACUUUUUGGGAGCUUCAAAAAGUCUCUGCUCAGCGCACCUGGGGUCCUUGAAAAAUUUGCUAACUUUCUCAGUUUACCCUCAUUCUCUUAAAAAAUUCCCUUAGGUGGUACAUUAGCCUUUAAACUAGAUAGGUCUUCUCAUUCAAAUUUUACUAUUUCUUGCACCCACCCAAUUUUCAACAGUGUGAUGCCUAGGCUUUCAAAAUGAAGGAAGAUACAGACUUAAUAUAACGAGGUACUAUACCAAGUACCAACAAUUCAGAUAAAUACAUUAGCAGACACGGAGAAGGCAAUAUCUCACCUCUAGAUCAUGAUUCUUUGCCUUCGUUCGUUUUCUCUUCCUUGAUUUCUUUUUACAGGCUUCGUCAUUUGAUGCCUCGUGAUCCUUUGAUCUACUGAAUUAGGCGUAUAAAAAUCAAAUAAUGGAUAAAAAACAAUUUGGAAAUACAUAGCAGAUAGAGAAUACUCGUCAAAGUAGAAAAGAAGACUAUAAUAAGACAUAUGAAAGAUUCAGUUAAAUUUGUUCGCUUAUGUAUAAAUAUGACUCACCCUUCAUCGGAAGGCUCUUCUGGAAUAGGCGAAAGAUUGGGGGAAUCUUCAUUGUCCUACAAUCAAACCCAUGAUAAAGCCGUAACUUGUUAGCACAAGCACAGCUGUAUUAUUUAUCAGAGCUUCUUCAAAUCACAAAAAAACCCUAUGUAUAAGUAUGAGUGUACCUUAAAUGCUUCCUUGAUAGCCAUAUCCACCAACUCUUCCUCAGUCAAGAUUUUGAGCUCAUCCACCCUGCACAACAAACAAUACCACUGUGAACCAAAACCUACCAGCUAAAAUUCAAGAUGCAAAACCCAAGACAAAGGAAAGUAAAAAUGCUUACGAAAUAUCUUCGUCUAAGACUUGGGAUGAACUUGAAGAUACUUCAAAUUCUAAAUCCUGCAAAAUAAGCCCGGCACAACUUUAAACUUAUGAAUCAAUCAAAAAUUAGCAAAGCAAUAACAGAACUAUCAAGAACUCAUCAACCAAGAGUACCUGAAGUUCUUGAACAAUAGAAGACUGGAACAAAGGGACACUGGUGAGGGAGCCCACCAGAUUGGGAACGAAGAUGGGCCCACCUCUGGGAACUGAGAGUUCUUCCUCUUCCUUAUCACAACCAUUGUUGUUGUUAUUGGUGUGUUCUUCGUCUUCAACACUGCAACUGUCACCGUCAUUCUCUGCCAUAAUCUAUCUUCUUGUGUAAAGUUUUGAACUUUAAUUACACCAACAAAAUGCAUAAACUAUAUAUCUUCUCAAUAUUCAACGAAAUUAAAGAAACCCAAUUGGGAAAGCAGCAUACGAAGUGAAGGGAACAGUUGGUUUCAUUUACAACAAAAUUUGAAAAAAAAAAAUAGUAUAAAUACCUGUGAGGUGAAGCCUAGGGUUUCUGAGAGAAAGAGAGAGAGAGAGUUGAAGACAAAAGUGUCUCUCUUUGCGUCUCCCGGUUAACCCCCCAAACAAACAGUUUGUUUUUACAGUGAAUAGGCCUGGGCACGGUUUGGGUCGGGUCAAAUUUUGACUGACCCGUGGGCCAAACCGACCAAGACUGCGGUUCUCGGGUUGGAUCGGGUCAAAAAUGAAACCCGAAGUUGGGCCAACCCGAACAUACAAGGUUCGGUUCUGGUUUUUUGGUCGGUUCUGGGUUGAGCCCAAAAUCAAUUUUUUUUUUUCUUUCUAAAAGCCCAAUAUUGUUGAAUUUUUCAAAAGCCCAAUAUUGUUUUUUUUUUUUUAACAAUAUCAGUUUUUCAAGCAGCCCAUCAAUUAAAGGUUUUCCUUGCCCAAAUUAUGUAAAUUCAACUAUAACCUGUUUUUUUUUUUUAAAGUAUCUAAACUAUCAAAUUAAAUUUCACAAUCAUCAUAAAACUACGAAAUUAAAUUUUACAACCCAUGACCAAAAAAAAAAAAAAAAAAGUAAAGCACCAAAUAUAUUCACUUGUAUCAGUUAAGGGAGCUGCAAACAAAACAUGUUUUGCAGCUCCCAUGGCUUCUCCAUCAUCAUUGUUCCAAUUCGACAAAGUGUCAAACCUGCAUCCUGAUCAAAUAUCACAACUAUAGAAUAUCAGAGCAGGAAAUGAUUAGUUCUGCACAAAAUGACAGAAUCUAAACCUUUGAAAAACAAAUAUAGACCAGUCAUUCAAUCAAUAAAUAAUUAUUCAAUAAAAAAAACUAAUUAACCCAAAUAUUAGCAUUCAUUCAUCAAUAAGAUACUAACACAAACAUGCUACAUAAGGAAAAAAGGGAGAAAACAAAUAAAAGAAUGAAUGCAUUUAAUCAACAACAAGUUAAGUAGAUUCAUGCCAAAAAUACAGAUUCAAGACAACUCAAUUAAAUAAAUUGAAACAGAUUCAAGGCUACCAAUCGAACCUAAAAUACACAGAUAAAAAAAUCAGAAAUUAAAUCUGAAAACAAUGAAGAAAGCAUCCAAACAUAAACAAAACUAAAUUCCAUGUAUGUCUACGUCUAGGAAAAUGUAGUAAUAGAGUGCAGAAGGGCAAAGCUAAGCCUGAAUUUCAUCUUUCAAAUUGAUGAAAACCAUAUUGCCAAUUUAUUCAUAAAUUUUAUUCAUAAUCGAAAUCAAUUAUAUUAAUACGAUACCUCAGUGCAAAGACACAAUUCGGGGCAAUUCGGACCACUGUGAUCAUGUUACAAAGAACAAAUUAGAUAAUUCACAACACUGAGUACAGAAAAAUUGAACAGAGUAUACAAUGAAAUCAUUGACAUGAAAAUGUCAUAGUAUAAGAGUGCUUACCAGAAAGCUGCAACGCAACAAUCUGCAGAACAAACAGAACACAGGAAGAUUAAAAUUGAAGGUCAGAUCAUAUUCACAUAAAGAAAGAAAAUACCAAAAAUCCAUACAUCUAAAGUAAAGCCAUAUGGAGCUGAUGAUUUAAAAAUAUAUAAUUCUAAUUCUCCCAUUCCUUUUAAGCCACACACAGAGAUUGAGACAGAAAUAUUUAUACCUUCAAUUUUGCCUAUUAAUCCAAACCCACAGAGACUAAGCACAACAACUGCAAAAUUAAGAAAAAAUUGCAUUAAUUUCAACAGAAUACCAAAAUUUCGAAACCCUAAUAAUCUACUAAAUUAGGGAAAAUGAAAACAACUAAGAAUCCAAACUAAAUACAUACAAAUUACCUUAGAAUGAACCAGAGCCCUCCAAAAUUUACAAGGAUUCGCUCCAAAAACCAAUGAUAUUGGAUUGAUGUUUGGUUAGGUUUGGAGAAAGAGAAUGAGUCUCGCGUCUCUAAGAGACUUAAAGAUGUGACUAAGAGAGAGAGAGAGAGAGAGAGAGAGCGAGCGCGAUAGAGACGAGUUGAGAGAGAGACAGAGAGACAGAGAGGGCGCGCGAUAGAGAUGGCGGCCGAUGAGGUAGGGUUAGUCUCAGAUCGGGAGAGAAAUAGUGUAGGGUUUCGUGAGUGAGUGAGAGAUAGAUACAGAGUGAGUCUGAGAGGGUUAGUGAAAAAAUAAUAAAUUAAAAUUUGAGAGAGGUUCUGAUAUAGUGCAAGCAGACCCACCCAAAGUUCUUAUUUAAGCCAAUGAGACAACGCCAUGUGUCAAAUGCAUAUAUAAUUAAAUAAUGGUCGGUUCGGUUCAGGUCCAACGGUUCAAAAAAUUUUAGACCCGAAGCCUGAACCAAAGUCAACGGUUCGGUUCAGGUCCAGCGUUGACUUUUUCGGUUUGGUCAAAAAAACCUUAUUUUUCGGUUUGGUUUGGUUUGGUUCGGUCGGUUUGAUCAGUUUAUCAGUUUUUAUGCCCACCCCUAGUAAAUAUGUUGCAGAACGCGGCAAAUGUAUGCCUGGUACUUUCUAGGGAGUUUAAGCAGUUCGCAAUGUGGGCCCCACUCUCAACAGAAGAAGAGAAAGGUAAAGAAGGUUUUUAUUUAUUUAUAUUUAUUAUUUUUUUAAUUAAUUUUUUUAUAAGGCUAAAUUACUCUUUUUAAAAAAAAUUUAAAAUAAAAAGAAAAGAAAAGCAUGCCGCAUACUUUAUUUUUAUUUUUUUGUCUUUCGUGAGGUAAGGGGACGGAUGAGUAUUAUAUGGGAUUGCCUCAAGAUUGUCUCCAGUUUGAAUCAACUUUGAAAUUAAUUUUUCACAUAAACUUCUUAAAAAAUAUAUAUAAGAUGUUUCAUAUUCUUGCCAUCUGAAAACUUAAGGCAUUCCAUAGAUUACAACUUGAAUAGUACAUAUCAUCUGCUGUUUUUUAAUUUUCUAAUUGGAUCUCACAAACUUCUUGAGAUAUAGCAUCCUUCAAUGGGUUCUUCUCUUUCUCUUUGUUCUCUCCCCAGAGAGUUGUAGACAAACCAACAAUAAUCAAGGAAGCUCCUAAAAUACUGAAAAUGUUCACAAAUAAUAAAAUAUAUUUUAAAUUGAUAGCAACCCAGAAUUCCAAGUAAGUGAAUAAAAUAAAAAUAAAAAUUUCAUACCUUCCCAAGUAUAUAGCUUCUCUUAAAACGAAUAGCCCCAUUAUAGCUGCAACAAUUGUGGAUAGUGGUCUAAAUGCUGUCAUGAAAACUGGGCCUCUUGUUUUUACAACUAAUGUUUGCACAUAAAUGGUGAUUCCAAAAAUCAAAACUCCCUGCAAAAAUUUCACCUCAUCAAACUUCCAUGAGCAGAGAAUCUUUACCAUUUGACAGUUGAAGACCUCUUCAGAUUCUUACACUGUACAAAGGAGCAAGAAGUGUACUGUCCCAUGACAGCUUCCAAGAGGAUGCUUCAUGAUCUAGAAUUGCUGCCAUGAUCGCCGUGAGUAGAGUCCCCGAUAAGCACGUUAUCGAUGUAAGAGUAAUAGGUGCAGGAUACAUUUCGAUUGUUAUUGUCUGCAUCAAUCAAAUGUAUGAGUAUUGUAAGUAACUGCCAUGCUAACGGAAAGUUGUUCCUGUGACACUUUGUUUUUGGUUGUAGUGGUAGAAUAUGUGUGAAGCACCUGUAAGAUGUAGAAUGCUGAUGAGGAAAUAUAUGAAACAAGAAGAAAAAGGGAGCCCUUUAUCCAGUCUCUGUCUACGGAUGAUUUGGAAGUAGCAGAUUGAUGGGAGGCUUGAGUGUGCAUUGAAAUCACAGCAAUUCCCUUGUAUAGCGUCAUCAGUGCUGCACCGGCAAAGGAGAUAAGAGUUCCCCCAAUCUUGGCUUGGGUACCAAGCUUUGUAAUGUCAAAUUUUUCCAUCCUGAGUACAUAUCAUAGUGUAAAUCCUUAAAUCAGAAUGCAAUAAUGCUGUGAGUUCCUUUUUAUUUUCAGUGCAAAGGUAUGCUCAAAUGCAAUGGUGAUUGGACAUAUUGACCAAAUAUAUUUCAUACCUGCACACAACUGCUAUGAUAAAGGUAAUACAUGGAAUAAGGUUGCUCAUAGCAGCUGCAAUAGCUGGUGAAGUGUAUUCCAGUCCCAUGUAAUUCAAUGUUCUUCCCAACACUCCUCUGAAUUACACAGGAAGAUGCAGAAAAUUAAUAUCAAUUUUCAUUUGUCUGAUAAUUGUCCAACAUUAGUUGGGGAUGACUUGUUAAGAGGUUAACAAUUUACUCACCCCAGCAGGCCCAAGAAGAAGACAUUUCGAAUUAUCGGAACACUGAUUUUGCUCUCAUUUUUCCUGCACGAGAUAGGUUAUGGUUAAUCAGACGACAGAGGAUACUGUUCAUAUUGGAGGGGGUGCCAUAUUUUUAUGCAGGCUAUGGAUGAAAUCAAAUGGAAGUAAUUAGAAGAGUUGUGUUGCAAACUUCUAACAAGGCAACAAAUAAAGAAAGAGCUUUGGACUUUAGAAUCUUAGGACCAUGAGUUAUAAGAAGAAUGAAAACUAAUAGACCUCUCAAAAAGAAGUGCAAGAAGAGCAGUUGCUAGCGUUCCAAAAGCAUGGCCAUAAACCACAAGCACAUAACAGCUCAUGCCUUUGUCUAAAGAGACCUUAAUGACAACAGGGAACCCAGCAAAGCAGAUGUUAGCAAAUAUACAAAGAAUGUAAGGUUUUGACACCUCCCUCUUACUGCUUCCUCCUUUCGCCCUGUCGUCCUGCUCUUCCGUUUGCAUUUCCAUUUUCAUUUAGCAUGUUGUUUUCACCAUGACCCCAUUUUAUACCAAUUUGGGGGAAUUUAAGGAAGAAAAUUAUCUGCUACAGAUAAUUCUGUGUUUCCAGAACUCCUAAGAAGUUUUAUCAAGUUACAACUUUCUACCAAUUAAUCUACUUAAUUUAUUUUUGUGGUCAGCAUCAGCAUCAGUCUUAAUCUCACUUACAUACUCAACAUCAUACAUGACUUUCUCUUUGUCCUUCUGAUUGAUUUCAACACUCACCAAUCUUUCAUUUCCACAUACAACAUCAUUUGAUUAUUGUGACUUUUCCAAACAUUUUGUAGUGUGACUUUUCCAAACAUUUUGUAGAAGAAACGAAAACCCGCGAUUGGAGGAUGGUUCUAAUAUUCUUUACUUAUAUGAAGGGACACUUGAAAAUUUGUAGAGAUUAACCAUUCAAGUUCAAACAUUGCACCAAUAAUUUUCCCUUACCAGAACUAAAUUGAUUUUGAUAAUUGGGAUCACAUUUCUUAUAGAAGAAAAGAACAUCAAUUAUUGAAGAUUGGUUCAGAUAUAUCACAACAUAAAGGAACAGUAUCCAUUUGGGGGAUAUUUCUGUGUUCCUGAUAUAUCACUACUUACUUUCUUCUUCUUUGUUUUUUUUUCUUUUAAGAAGAGGAAAGUGCUUUGUGACACCUCAAGAACUAUUAUAAGAAGUGACUCAAUUAUGAGUUGGGUCUUACCAUAAGUUCCUCCUUAUGCGUUGUAGUUUUUAAUGUGCCCAAGCAGUGUUUUAUCAAGUUACAACUUUCUACUAAUCAACCUUUUAUUUGAUCUAAGCAGCUUGCUCAGAUAUGGCAUUGGCAAUGCUCAAAAUAGCUUCUUCUCCCUUUCUGGUUUGCCUUUCGCCCACGAAAUGUGUACGAGCAGUUAUCUAUGUAACUCACACGAUACUGAGAAUGUUCAAGAGUUGAAAGUGUAGGAUACCACAAUUCAAGAAUAUGCUCCUUCGCUGAGCAAUAGAUACAUGACUUAGAAUGCAUGCCCAACCAAAUAUGAAGAAGCUUGUAGGCUUAAAAGACUGUAUGUCUGUCUGUCAUUCAGGUUGAAUGAAUAUGAAUUACAGAGCAUGCUCUUUUUCUUUUGUUAGUUGGUUCCCCAAUAAAAAACAAUCCAAUAGUGCCAACAGGGCCUAGCCAAGUAUAAAAGAGUCUUAACUUGCAGGCUAAAAAUUUCAUGUUUGAAACCCAUAACAUCUUGAUUGAGCGUAUGAAAAAUCAUCUCCCUUAUAGUUUACUAUCAUUUGUGCUUUAAAAAAAACAAACAAACAAACAAUCCAGAGAAAUAUACAUAUUUUUUUAUGAUAGAGAAUUUGUUUUUUUUUCAUAGAACAUGUAUAGUGGGAGAAAAUUUCACAGUUCAAUCAACUCACCAACAAGCUAUUCUCUUUCCAAUAAUAAGUACCCAAAUGAGUGUUGUUAAACCCUUUUUCUAAAACCCUGCAAAUUAAAAUAAAUAAAUAAAUAACUUAAAAUAAAAUAAAAAUAAAAAACUCCAAAUCAAAAGCAGCCUCCUUCACUCCCCCUCUCUCCAUUUUUCUGAUUCCUGAUCGAAGCAAAGCAGUGAACAUGAGUGCCUAUCUCUCUCUUCGCCACCGCUCUUUCACUUACCUCAAUCGCCACCUCACAUCCUCACCCUUCUCCACCACCACCUCCAAACUCCCCACCCUUUACGAACCAGCUGCCGCCGCCACCCAAAACGACGACGUCCCCACCACAACCCUCCAACUCCUCUCAUGGGGCAGAGGCGCCUCGGGCCAACUCGGCGGAGGAAUCGAAGAACUUCGUCUCUACCCAACCCCUGUCGCCAACCUCGUCGUUCCCGCCUCAUCCUUCACCCUUUCACCAACCCAAGGCCGAAUUCAAAUACCCAAUUGCUCAGAAACAAAGAACAAUGCCCAUGGCAGUGUUGUAGAGGUGGGUAUUUCUUGUGGGCUUUUCCACUCGUCGCUGUUGGUGGAUGAAAAGCUCUGGAUUUGGGGUAAAGGCGAUGGCGGUCGACUUGGGUUUGGACAUGAGAAUUCUCUGUUUCUGCCCACUUUGAACCCGCAUUUGGAUUCGGUUCGCUUCGUAGCGCUUGGUGGAUUGCAUUCUGUUGCGCUCACCUCCCUCGGCCAGGUCUAUACUUGGUCAGUACAAUAGUAAAGACUAGGCAUUUCUUGCAUUUCAUCACAUGUUGAGUCGCAUUACAUUUUGUUGAUUGCAAUAGUUGGGUUCUCUUGUUUUGGUUUUUUUAUCUGCACAAACAUUUAUGCUUUUUUCUUCUUGGAAGAAGAAUAGCAAUAUGGUUGCAAUGAGCAGAUUCCGUCCAUAGCUUGUAAAGUUUGUAUCAAGGGUAAUAGUUUCUAGUCUCGACUAUGUGCAAUUCAAGGUGGUGUUUGAGGAAGAACUGGCCCAAUUACAUUUGCUUGUCAUGUGUUGAAAGACCGAUUUGCUAUUUUAACUCUCCAACCCACAUCAAUUUUACCACAGUCCGCUUCUUCUAUCCAUUUGAUAUAAUUAUUGUUUUCAUGUCCACUGCAAAUCUUUUAUGUUCAUUGACCAUAUUGCUCUAUUGAUUCAUGCUUUUGGUUGGAUAACUUCAUGGUUGUCGUUAAACAUGAAGCUUGCAGGGGUUAUGGUGGUUUUGGUGCACUUGGACAUUCUGUUUAUACUAGAGAAUUGUUCCCUAGAUUGGUGGAAGGCUCAUGGAGUGGGAAAAUACAUCAUAUUUCAACUAGUGGGACACAUACUGCUGCAAUCACGAAAUCAGGUUUGUUACUGGGAUCUUUCAUUGGAGUAAAGUGGUACUGUCUGGGUGCAACAAAUUAAUGGACUCUAACCAAGAGGAUAGGAAUAACUUAAACUAGUAGUGGAAGUAUGUUGCAGAUGACAUGCUUUUUCGGUUUCUUACUCCUUUCUGGCUUUAAGCAUUUAUUGUUGUUUCCGGGAUGAAGAUUUAUGUUUACGUGUUUGAUUUGUCAUUAGAUAUCUGGGUAUUACUCAUUGGAUGUAGCAUGUAGGAGAACUUUAUACUUGGGGUCGAGAUGAAGGGGAUGGUAGAUUGGGACUUGGUCCUAAUCGGGGCCCAAAUGAGGGUGGUGGACUAAGCAUACCCUCCAAAGUAAAAGCAUUACCUGUGCCUGCGGCUGCUGUUUCUUGUGGAGGGUUUUUCACAAUGGUACUGACAGAAGAUGGGGAACUUUGGAAUUGGGGAGGUAAGGUUGUCACAUCUCAUGUGGAAAACUUGUUAUAAAAGAGUUAUUUAUAAACCACCACCACCCCUCCCCCCCCCCCCCAAAAAAAAAAACAACAACAACAAAAAGCAUGGAUUGACCUAAUAUACUGUAACAACAUAAUUCCAAUGCCAAAUAAGUGUUAUUAAAUUAUUGUAAGAAAUGGUGUUAUAGUUUUCAAAUGUUCUCCCAGAUAUUUGCUUCAUUAGUCAAUGAGCUUGUGCAAAUGAAUUUCAAUUUGCAGAUUUGACAAAUGGAGAUUGUCAUAAGGGGGUGGUAUUUAGUUUAUUUUAGAGAUCAUAAAGUCAUUGGUACUUCUAUAAUGAGUAGCAUUCUUGUUACUCUUCAGUAAGGGGUUAUCUAAUUGGCUCUUGAUGUUAUUGUCAUCUUUGACUUUGACUGACUUCUAAUUGCUCCACUUUUGUGAAGCUAAUUAUCGUGUUUUCUUGGUGUUUACUCAGCAAACUCUAACUAUGAGCUUGGAAGAGGCAAUAAGGUUGGUGGUUGGCAACCAAAACCAGUUCCUAGUCUUGUAGGUGUCCGUAUCAUUCAGAUAGAAAGUGGUGGAUAUCAUUCUCUUGCGUUAACUGGUAAUGUGACAGCCGUGUCUCAUGAUUGCAGCAACAGCACUUGCUGUCUUUAUUUCUUGAAAGGUUAAGUCUUAUGUAUGGCCUUUCUUUCUUGAUGUUUAAUUUUUUUAGAUGAAGGUAAAGUGCUUUCAUGGGGACAUGGUGGGCAUGGUCAGUUGGGCAACUCUUCUAUCCAAAGUCAGAAAACACCUACAGUUGUUGAGGCUUUAACUGACGAGCGUGUCAUCUAUAUUGCUUGUGGAGGUUCAUCUUCAGCAGCUAUAACAGGUCAGAUGAUUCUUGUGUUCUCAGAUACUGUAAUCUAUUAGGUCUUAAAAAUAUUUUGUUACGUCGCUCAAAUGUGUAAAUGCUGUGCAGCCUCUAAUUACAUUCCACCAGGGUGUCUCUUUACAGUGAGUAAUGUGCUCCUGUAGUUGACACACAUGUUGAUUUUUUCUUUAACGAUUUAUUCAUCCAAUAGAAGAUUUGUAUUCGGCCAUGCCUUUUCAUUUGGUUUGCUAUGCGUUGGUAGUGUUGGGGAUUGAAACUGAGACCAAAAGAAAGGAUUAAUUUAGAAUAUUCUGGAAACAACUGAAGACUUAAAGGACAUCGGAUUAAGAGCAUCGAUAAUUCUUGGUUGCAUAAUUCAAGAACAUGGUUAGGCUGAUGUUCGGACCUGGUUCAAACUAGCUUACUUCAUAUUUUCAUGCAUUUCCGAUUUGAAAUUGAAUGCCCCCGCCUUUUGUUCCGUAACAGAUAAAGGAAAGUUGUAUAUGUGGGGAAACACCAAAGAUUCUCAAUUAGGAGUUCCUGGGCUUCCAGAGAUACAACCAUCCCCUGUUGAAGUCAAGUUCUUAAUGGAGGAUGAUGGAUUGGGACCCCACAAUGUGCUGUCUGUUGCAGUUGGUGCUUCUCAUGCCAUGUGCUUGGUUUCAAGGUCUGACUGUUUCAGUGUGAUAAUUAUUAUGAUUUUCUUUUUUCUUUUUUCUAACGUAUAAAUUCUGUAACAGGGAUGGAAUGUCCAACUGAGCUGAAAUGGAGGAGAAAAUGGAUGGAUAGCUAUGAUUCAGAGGUUAAACUGAUUCAAGAUGAUAAAUAUUAUUCAAGUGAGAAAGAGUAGACUUCUAGCCAGGAGAGAGUGAGAGACGAACAAAUGCUAUACAGGAGAUCAAAUGUGAGCACAUUUGAGCGCCAGAAGUUGCUGCCCCUACUCCGUCUGGCAUUAGUACCGCAACAAUUUGUGCAAAACUCUAUGAAACCUCACUUCGAAAUGCAACGGCUCAACGCCGUUCUGCAAGGAUAUGCUGACAAUUGACAGAACUCAGUUAUUGUAAACACAUGAGAGAUUUCCAGGUUCUUUAAAUUAUUGGCAGAGAUGUAGUGCCCCAUAUUCUCUCCGAGUUACUAGAAUGCCUCAGGCUGGGAAUUUGGCCCAACUCUUUACUUCGUUUUUGUACUACUUUUGACUGGGGCUGUUCAGAUACUAACUGCAGUUCAGAUGAAUAAUCUGUUCCAAAUCAAAAUAAACUUUGUUUUGUGUUCUCAUGAUUUCUUUACCUACUUGUGGGUUUUUGGAAGUGUUUUUUUCCUUCCCUUUUUGUGAUAUAUUUUUUGGGUAAAACCUGCAUACGGGUUGUAUCUGUGAUUAGCUUGGUACCUUCACCAUCAAAAAUGGACCCUACGGUUUCUAAACAUCAUGGUACAUUCACUUGGCUUGCCUUCACAGCUAUCAUCUGCUGAUGUGAAUGAGCCUUCACUUGUCGCUGUAUAAUGGAAACCCUAUGGUUUUGUAGCUUUCAUGACACAGUUGCUCAUCAUGUUCCUUGGCUCCGUCUUUCUUGUGGCCCCUAGAGCAAUUGAGCACAAGCAUUAACUUGUAGGAUUUCACUAAGAUUAACCGCCCACGUCCGCGGGUGAUCUAAUGUGAGUCUCUUAAUAAUCAAUGAUUAGAAAUCAUUUACACAUAUAGGCGACUGAUCUUAGCAUACUCUUAACCUAAAUAUAUUGAUGAUACGAAAUCAAAAGAAAGACCGUUGUCCUCGUCCACUCGUGACUAUUGGCUCUAGGUGGUGGCUUGGCUCUUGGGUAAACUUCAUUUUUUGCUCAUAAGAUGAAACGGGUUUUGGUUGUCUUUGAUCCCCACAGUCAAAGGAGACAGUGUGCACAAUGUGGACCACCAAGCUGCAUGCUGCGAUCGUUUGGUGCGUGACAAACUUCAAUCAUUUCACUAUGUUUUGGCUACAUCUUAUUCACACCUCUCACGACAAACAUUUACGAACGGGGCUUUGGCCCCAUUAAUAUUUGCCUCGGGCUAUGGCCCCAUUAAUAUUUGCCCCUUCCUUGCAUGAUUCCAAAUCUCAACGGAACGGAAGGGAAAUCACUACAGACACCCUCUUGAUUUGUCAGGUGUUUUUAUCACAGCAAUCGUGUAUGUACAUGACAUCUAGUAAAUAAUUUGUGUAAGUAGACGUAGGUGAGUUGGUCAGGUAGUAAAUCUGCUUUUUUACGCUCAAGUUUGAGUUUUAUUUUUACUAGCCUCUCUGCACGCGCUUCUGCGCAUGCGAGAGGUUUUUUUUAAAAAAAAUUUAAAUUUAUUUUAGAAUUAAAAAAGAUAAUGGAUAUUUGUGUUCCAUAAAAAUAUGAUCCAUUAUCUGAAUUUUCUUUUAAUUUUAAUUUUUUUAAUACGAAAAAUUGUGAAUUUACCAUAUUAUCCUCAUUUAAUUAAUAAUUUCAAUUCUUAAUAUUUGCAUUAACCAAGGGUAUUUUCUGGUAUUUUGAAUGUUUCACCAUUCUCUGCCUUUUGCUUUAUAUAUAUAGAUAAAUUAGAUUAAUUUAAACUAUCAUUUGCAUAUAAAUAAAAUAAAAAAAGAUAAUUUGUGUAAUCUCAUAUCUUUCGCUCAACACAUAGCACAUCGCAUUAUAAAAAUCAGAGGAAUGCUAUAAGACAGUGUGCGUCAAGCAUUAGAUUUAUGUGGAUUCAAAUUAUGGAUCUCAUUACUAUCGACAUUUGAGAGUUCACUUAGGCAAAUACAUUCACGCAUGCAACUCUCUCUAUUAUAACUUUGAAAACAAAAGAAGAAAAAAAAUAAAAAAUUCAAAUUGUAUCGUGUUACAAUUGAUGGUAAUGAGUUGAUUAUAUGAUCAGCUAAUCAUAUAUAAUUAAAAAUAUAUAUAUAGAAACAAAAAUAUACAACAAGAAAUGUAAAUUUUCUUUUACUAUUAACACGUAUGUCUGUCAUGGGACACUUCCCUUACAGGUUUACGCAAACAAAUAUGAACACAAAUCAAAACAAACGUUCAAAAUAAAACCCUAUAUGGAAAAUAAAAACUAAUAAUGUUAUGUAGGACAAGCUUCCCUAAUAUACGCUUAAUCAUGUUAAUUGCCGAUCAAUCACCAAUGUGUAUCAAGUGAUUGAUCCUAGCCGUAAGUGAACACCGAACACUGCGACGCCGGCCUCGACAGCUCCGUUCCCGCACUGGCCGGGCACGCCUCCAUCCCCACCUGGGGCACCAUGCAGUUGUAACUCAAGCACAACGACACCGUAUCGGGCAACAUCGACCCCGGCUCAACAUGGAACCCGGAUAAGUAAUUGUGCUGUAAAUACAAUGUUCUGGUGGUGCCCACGUACACGCUCUUAACGUACUCCCUCGGUACGUUCCCAAUCAGACGGUUGUUAUUCAAAAACAAGCUCUCCACCCCCGCCAGGAUCGGCGACAGCUCACCCGUUAUGGAGUUGUGGCUCAAAUCCACGAUCGAGCCCUCGCCGUAGGAUGGGGGCUGGGACUCCACGGGCGGGACCCACCCGGAGAGAUUGUUCCGUUGCAACAGCAGCGACUGGAGUGUGGUACGGAACAGAGUUUGAGGGAGGGGUCCACUGAGACGGUUCAUGCCGAGAUCGAGGUGGACUACAUCGGCGAGCGAGUCGAAGAGGGAGCCGAUGGGACCCGACAUUUCGUUUUCCGAGAACGACAAGUAACGGAGCGUCGUCGGGAGAGAGGGCGGUAAGGGACCGGUGAGCUUGUUGCGUUUUAAGUCCAGGUGAAGGAGUUGAGACAACACGUCGUGCGGCAGCUCGCCGGAGAGGGAGUUGGAGGCGAGGAUGAGGACUUUCAGAGCCGGUAAACGGGUCAGACCCGAGGGGAUUGACCCGGUGAGCCGGUUGUAGCUGAGGUCGAGGGUGUGGAGGUUGGAGAGGAGAGAGAUGGUCUGGGGAAUCGGACCGGUGAGGCGGUUGUUGGUUAACGAGAUGACUCGGAGGUUGGCGAGUCGGCCGAGUUGGAACGGGAUUGGACCUGUGACGAUUCCGGGGAAGAGGAUGAGCUGAGUCAACUCGGUGAGGUCGGCGAGGGAGGGAGGGAGCGACCCGGCGAGGCCGGGCGAGUCGGAGAGGCCAGUGCCGAGAGUGAGGGUGGUGACUCGGCCGGAGGUGCAGGUGACGCCGGAGAAGGUGGAGCAGGGAUCUGGUGCGGCGAAGUCCCAGGUGGAGAAGAAUGCUGUGGCACCUCGGAAGGGGACAUCGGUGAGGGAGUUCUUGAUGGCGGUGAGGGCGUGGAGAUCGACGGUGCUGAUUUUCUGGUUUUGUUGUUGAUGCGACGGUGGAGUGAGAUUGAGAAGGAGGAGGAGGAGAAGAAGAAGUGGAAGUGGGAGUGAGGAGUGUGCAUGUUGUUUGGCCGCCAUGACCAAAAAACCACGAGAGAGAGAGAGGAAGUCAAAAUUGGUGCGGUUUCAUGUAAACCGUAAGAAUGGGGUAUGAAGUGAUGAUGGAUGUAACCGUUGCCUUGCGUAAUGGCGUUAUGGCCCAACCCAUUUAUUUGAGUCACCUUUCUUGGACUUAUUAUAAGAGCGCUAGUUACUUCAUUUACUCGCUACAAUAAUUACCACUGACUACAUCUUUCACACCUGUAGAACCUUACUUGCACACAGUGUGGAUGAAUCUCACUCCAUUGCUUGAGACAGUCGUACCUCUCAAUUGUUAAUGCAUGUGCGGUUCGAAUUUCAUCAACGAUUGAAAAUCACUUACUCGUAUGUGUGAUUAUUUUCAAGCGAAAUCAAUGUGUAUAAUUUGAGUGUUUUACCCCUCGAAUUAAACUGAGAAUAGUGGUCCUCUGAGUUGGGCAACUUUUGAGGUGCAUAAAAUAUGUCCUCUAGGAUCACUCUUCGCCACUUUUGGUGGUUAGGACUUAGGGGUUGGUUAAUUGGUUGGACAACUUAGACUAAAAGUACUACUACUUAAGUGUUAGGCUUGGCUUUGCUGUCAACCUUUUUUUAGCAUUAUUACUUAAAAAAUUAAGAAACGUUUUUGCAAUUAAGAGAUUGAUGGAAUCAUAGUAAUGAAAAGCAGAGAAAGUUCACCCACCAUGACCAUUGACCAUGCUCUGUUCUCUUGUAAAUUCAGGUUUGAAUCUUUGCUGCCUGCACCAUUUUGUUCUUUUAGAGCAUGCAGAGCAGAUGGAUCUAAAAGAAAAAGACCCACUUGGGCCACUUCAUGCUUCAAAGAGCAAACUCUUUUCUUCCCAUUUCCCAACCAAUAUACAUAAAAAUGUAAGUUAAUUAGUGAUUAGAGCUAGCAAAACCAAGCACUUAGCACUAAUCCACACACCUGGUAGACUUGUUUACUGACAGUUAGUGAAUGACCUAAACUUAAUGCAGACAAAAAGUUGAUGAAAAAAAAAAAAAAAACAAGAAGAAGAAAAAGACCAGAGUCUAGCUGCUACACCGAUCACUGCUUCCCAACUUAGCUAUUAGUUAAUGGGAUGUCUUUAGAUGCACAUGGGGAGAGGUGUGGGCAAACAUCAAUAUUCACCCCAACAGUGGUCAAACUAUGCACGUACAAUAUUCUAAUUUUACCCAUAAAAUACAUUAGCAUAUAUAUAACACAUUGUUUAUUGCCAUUAAAUUAGGCACCAUGAUGCAUAUAUAGAGAUCCAUAGACAGCUCAGAUGGAAACUUCGUGACGCCACUGCGGGAAAGAUUCUCCCACUCCUCACUAAUUUAAUUUAUAUUGGGCAUUUUGUAGAUGUAGGUUAGGCUGAGUUAGAUCAGUUGGUAAUGGCAGUGAAUCCGUUCUCUUGCACUUAAGUUUGAAUCAAUGUCUUUGUAAAUUAGAUUAAUUUAGAAUAAAUUAUCGCUUGUAUCAAAAGUUCAUAUUGGGCAUUUAAGUGAGUACCAUGAGACAAGUAUUACCAAAAUAGAGUCAUUCUAUAAUGAGGGCUUUAUAUAUGGCCCUUAGAUGAGAUUCUAUCUUUAAUUGUUGAAUUAAAUUAAUUAAUUUUAUUCAACAAUUAAGAGAUAAGACAUCACGUAAAAGUUAUAUACAAGGCCCUCACUAUAGAAUUCUUGGACCAAAAAGAAAGAAAAAAGAAAGUUUUGAAGGAAGUUGAGCUUAGGCAGCUUUACGUGGGUGUGUAUAUAAAAGUUGACGACCCACCAAUGGAUUAUGGAUGGUCCACUGCUUUAGAGAAAAUGUUUUGGUGGAUCUUUCUCAAGCAGUGUGGGUAGGUCCAGUGCAAUUUUGUAAAAGGCUGCAAAAUGAGCAUGCCGCAUGUCCAAUAUAAUGAAGGAAUGAAUUGGAACUCAAGGAAUAUCUAGCUACCAUCACUACUAAGUUAGGAUUUUAAGUUGGUUUUUUAAGGCUACUUUUUGGGGUAAAAGAGCUCGAGACAAAGCUUGCAUGUUAUGCUAUGGGUUUUUUUUGUUUUUUUUAUUUAUUUUUUAUACGAAUGAUAUUGGGAAGGGAGGAAUCUAAUCUAGGACCAUAAGUGCAAAGGGGUAAAAUGUGAAGCCAGAAAAUUUGAGAUGUUAAGGUGGGUUGGGCCUCCAAAUGGCUCGGGUCCUACGUGCGUGGGAAUAUAUAUUGGGCUUUAUUUUCUUGAAGUCUACCAACAUAACCCUAAACAAAUUUAGGAAAAUAUAUGCAUGCAUGGUUUUAUCCUUCUCAAAACCGUUCAUAAAAAUUUACAAAUGCAGUAGAGGAUCGAGGAAUUCAAACCAUAAAUGCAGUUCCCUAUGGAGAGCUGAAAAUGCAGGGGUGAUCUUUGGUUCCAGGAAUAAAUAGUGAAACCAUUCUUCAACGAAAUGCUCACAGAGCUUCUAAACCAAUGAUUAUCCCCUCUUUCCCUAAUAACCAACAUAAGACAUCUAAACCAAAUGAAGAAAUGCUUUUACUAUCUAAACUAUCAACUCUCACUCACAUCACAUACCGAUGCUCAAAUGAAUUAUUACCACAAAGCCUUUCCCUAGCAUUGGUCAGUAGUAACACAAGCACAUUAAUCAUUUCCCUCUCUUUUCAACUUCUGACAUGUCAAAAAGAGAACAUUUCGUAAACAUACGCAGCCCGCACGCAAGCACACAGUCCUACACUACAUAUAUAUGUCCAUGAUUUUCUCAUAUUAGAAUCCUCUGAGAUGAGUGCCAGACUUUGUGCUAGGACCACCAACACAGUGCUAGCUGACCUCCCUCUUCCCUCGUCAUAUCAUCCUUGUAAUCCUGUUUAAGCAUCGAUUGAGCCGCUUGGUUGUUCGCACCAAUCACUGCAGCCUUCCAGCCAGCAUAGUUUCCACUAGGGUCACUCAAGUAAAGUUGAAAACCGAAAUUCUUGUCCCCAACCCGCAAACAAAAAUGAAACACCAAAGGGCCGGAGACCACCAAACUGUGUGUAGCCCUGCUUAGUAUCACAAAGAGAUUGAACAAGCUGCUCAACGGGCAUUGGUUCUUGGUACGCAAACAUAUAGCGCUGAGCCUGGACCCUAGAAGUGUUUAUCAGGAUGUUGGCAUCAGACAUUAUGCCAGCCACAGCACAAGCAACAUGAUCAUAAAUCUUGUGUUGGAUAUUUAUUCAUUAUUGUUAUUUGAUUUAUUUAGUUAAUUUGCUUCUGCUAAUAAUCCCUAUUUACCAGGAAACAUGGUUAGUGUUUGACCUGAUCUUUAGGAGAAUCCCAAUAGUCUAGGGUUGUUAGACGUGAGAUAUUUUGUUGCUUAAUUUUCUGAUUACUUGUUCCCUGUACGACUAUUUAUGCCAGUCUUUGGAGUCAAUGAAUGAUAGAACAUUCACUCAGACUUUCGCACUCUUUAGCUUUCAAAGUUCUAGUUCUUAACAUCUUGUACAUUUUCUCAGUGGAAGUUGUGGAGUGGAGGAGUUUGGAUGUGACUUUCUUCUCACCAACUAAGAUAACCCCAUCUUUUGACAAAAUCCCAAUUGCAGUACCCGCAUUUCCAAUGGCCUCCAUUGCAUACUCAACUUGGUAGAGACGACCCUCAGGGGAAAAGAUGGUUGUACGGCUAUCAUAUCUCCUAGACAUCUUUGAUAAUAACUGUGAACGUUUGUGAAAUAAUGGUAUUAAAUUUUAUCAUUUUUUUCUUCUGAGAUAAUGGUAUUCAAUUUAUAUAAGAUGAAACAAGGGAAACCCAGAAAUCCAAAUAUGAACACAGUUAAAAAUUCCAACAGCUCAAGGUUUUCUACAAUCCAACAAAGCCAAAUAGCAUCAAUUGGGUAGCAUACAUAUGUGAAAUACUGAAAAAUCACAAAUCAGAUGCAAUAAACAUUAAAAUUAAUAAUAAUCACAAGACGCAAAUUAAAAAUGAACUUGGUCGAAAUUGAGACAAUGUAAGCAGCCCCAUCGCACAAACUAAUUGAAAUGACAAUCAUACAAGAAUACGGGCCUUACCCAGUUUCGCUUGCUCUCUCUUGGUUCAGAUGCUUGACAAAGUUUACGCCUUUUGCCGCCUACUCAGCUCUCAGCUCCCUAUUCUAGUAUUCUUCUUCUUCCUCCCCAAGAAAUAACCAAGGCUUUGUUUGCUCUGGCAUCCGGGGCUCCGAGUAGGGGCCUUUGUAGAAAUUGGGUCAAAACUCUGAGGCCGAAAGUAUCGGCCUUUUUUUACACGGGUAGCCCAAACAUUGUUGCUUGCGCAGGUAACCCAAUAAUAUUCAAUUGUCUAGGCUCAACUAUUUCAGUGGACCGGAGUGUUUUUUAGGUCGAAAGUGGACCGGAGUUAAGUCCAGAUAUUUGAGGUAAAUCUUUUAGGGCUCGUUUGGUACGUCGGACUGUACUGACUAAUUUUCGUCGGAUAGUAUUAAUUUAUUUCGGAGAGUACUGACUAUUUAUCCAUAAUAUUAUAAGGCGUUUGGUGCUGUUCCGGAUAAAUAAUUUGACUAAGUUAUACUGUGUUUGGUGAUGUUUCAGAUAACAUCAUAUCAGACUAUUUAUAAAUAAAAAAAAUAUAAAAUUUUUUUUGAUAAUUUUAAUGGAAAUUGAGAUUCAAAUGACACAAAUUUUUUUUGGUAAGAUUCAUAUGACAAUAUUUGUUUUUCAAUUGUUUUUGCCAAGAUUUUUUUUCAUAUAACCCAUUAUCAUAAUUGUAGUAUCUCAUAAAAAUUCCAACAUACUCGCAUACGUUAAUAAAAACAGUAUCAAAUAAUGUAUAAUUCAAAGUGAUCACAUAUUAAGGUAAUAAGAGCAAAAGAGAAAGUUGUUCAUAAACCAAACUACAUCAAAGAGUGAAUCACAACUCCCUCGCCUCAAGUAAGAGAAAAACAAAUGCUUUUCUCAUAGCACCAUCCACUGUCAGGAAUAUUUUUUUUAUCAUUUGCUUUCUCCAAAAUUAGCCGUAGUGCCUUAAUUUGGUCAUUAAUAGACAAGUCCAUCUUUGCUUUUCUAAUAACAAUUGACAAAGAAAAAAAAAUGGUUCUUAGAAUUCAGUUUCAUACAUUUUUAAUUUUAUAAUUUUGCUCUUCUAGUCGUCAGGUAUGUAUGUAUUCAACUAAACUACCAAUACUAGCACAGUUGUUUGUUUUUGGAUGAAAACUGGCAAUACUCUGUUUAAUACCAACAAUCUAAAUAUUCCCACAACGUCGAAUCACUAUAUCACAUACAAAAAAAACAUUCGAUUAAAAAAAGUACCAAAAAAAAAAAAUUCAUAACCUAAUUUCUACUAAAAAUUUGAAAUAUAUAAAGCAUAUUGGAGAGAGUAUGAAAAAAGAGAGAAAGUGAGUGAUGGAUACCUGGAGAAGAGUGAAGAAAAUAACAUGUGGAGAAGAUAGUAGAGAACAACCCUAGGGAGAAGAAGAUGAAAAGAGCAUCUGAUUUUUUUUGUAGAACUCGUGUUCUUUUUCCCUAGCCUUAUAAUUAAGCGUGUAUUAUCUAAACCGGGGUGUGUGGGUUGUAUUAGUUAGUUAGGUAAGGAGAGUAUUAAAAGCCCAACCCGUAUAAAAUAGUCGGGUAAUUAAAUAAUACAAGUUGACACCAAACACCUGACAUAGACUAUUUACUCAUAUCCAGAGUCUAAUACGAUGUACCAAACGAGCCCUUAGCUGUUAUAAAAUAAUCUGGAAUACGUGCGAAUAUUGAGCUGCACGUAAAGUAGAUGAGACACAGUAUUUAGCGAGGUUCGGCUAUGCCUACAUCCCCGGAGAGCAGCAGUAGUAACUUUUCCACUAUGUAAAAUAAUAGGGCUACAACUUUAGAGUUUACAAUAUGUGAGGCUCACUGAAUUUUCUCUCUGCUCACUCACCCUAUUUCUUCCUUCUCUUCCUCCUUUCUCUUUCUUCUCUCUUUCCUUCUUUCCUUUUCUUCUCUCUUUCCUCCUUUCCUUUUCUUCUCCCCGUUUCCUAUCUCUUUCUCUCUUCUUCUUUUCCUCUUCUCUUUCUCUCUUCUUCUUUCUCUAUUUAUAGACAUGUUAAAUGGCACCCGUGUUUCUACAAUACACAUCCGUGAGUGUGCAGCCAAAUACUUUGCUUAAUUUUCUUUGUGGGCCCCAUAAAUGUGGGCUCCACAUGUUUCUUCUUUACAACAUUAGCAAUUUCUUUUGGAGAAAAAAGAGAGGGAAAGCCAAGGAAAGAGAAAUUUUUAAAGAAGUCAAAUGGACAAAUGCCUUGUGAUAUAUAGGUUAAAUUGUAGCUAUGGUUUCUGAAAUAUAGUCCGAGUUGUAUUUUCAUCUUUCAACUUCAAAAAUAGGUGUUUUCCAAUAGGUCUUGCAUUGCAGCGUUUAUCCUUUACGUCAAGUCUGUCUAAUUUACCUCUCAAAAAGUCAACUAAAUUGAUAAUUGUAUACCUCAAAUUGAUGGAAUUUAACGAAAUGACCAAUUUGACAUAUGUGAGAGAGUUGGAGGAUGAGUAAAACUAAAAAAAUUAGUUGAAUGAUCAAAAUGAAACCGGGUAUGACCAUUCGAUNNNNNNNNNNNNNNNNNNNNNNNNNNNNNNNNNNNNNNNNNNNNNNNNNNNNNNNNNNNNNNNNNNNNNNNNNNNNNNNNNNNNNNNNNNNNNNNNNNNNNNNNNNNNNNNNNNNNNNNNNNNNNNNNNNNNNNNNNNNNNNNNNNNNNNNNNNNNNNNNNNNNNNNNNNNNNNNNNNNNNNNNNNNNNNNNNNNNNNNNNNNNNNNNNNNNNNNNNNNNNNNNNNNNNNNNNNNNNNNNNNNNNNNNNNNNNNNNNNNNNNNNNNNNNNNNNNNNNNNNNNNNNNNNNNNNNNNNNNNNNNNNCAAAAAUCUUGAACUCCUUUUAAGAAACUUUUUUGAACCAUUAGAUUAAUAUCUAACGGUGAGUAAUCACAAUCUCUUGGACUCCUGUGGUCCAAGAGAUCAAGACUAUUAAAAAAAGAUAACACGAGCAGUUAUGUUUCAUAAAAGUAGGAUCUAUUAUUUAUUUUAAUUUUUAAUUUUAAUUUAUUUUAAUAUGAAAAAAUAUAAAUUUACUAUAUUAUUCUCAUUUAAUUAAUAAUUUCAAUUCUCAAUUCUUAAUUAUUAUCCUCAUCGAAGUGUUGCCUUGGCUGCUGCUGAAUUGGUUUAUAUAGCUAAAAUGUUUAAAGACAUUGGCUUCUUUCUAGGCACUCCUCCUCUUCUCUGGGUGGACAAUCAACUGCUAUUUCUUUGGCUUCUAAUCGUGUGUUUCAUACCAGGACUAAACACGUGGAGGUUGAUUAUCACUUCACACGAGAAUUGGUGCAAAAUGAUUAAUCAGCUUCCUGACAUUUUUACAAAGUCUCUAUCUUCCUCUCUUUGUGUAUCUUCCAUCCAAGCUUUCAGUUUGUGACACUACCUUCAGCUUGAAGGGGCUGAUAGAUAUAUCUCCACAUCUAAUUCUAGCCUUUCAUUAUAGAGUUGUUAAUUUCUGUUUAGCUUUAUUUUAAUAAAUUGUAAAGCUGUCAUUAAUGUACAUCUAUAUUAUUACAAGUGUAUAUAAACAAUUCAAUGUAAUCAUUAUUGUUUAAUAAAAUGAGAAUACAAUUUUAGUUUUCUCACAAAAUAUUGAAGGAGAAUUAGAAAGUGGAAAAGUCAAGAAGUAGAGGAUUAGUGUCAGGACUUUUAGGCCUGAGGAAACAGUACUGAAGUUGACAAUGAGUAAGAGAUUCUUUGAUAUUAGCAAAACUAACACGACAAACAUGCCAAAUGUUGGGAUUUUGGGUGACUGAUUUUGAAAUUAAAAUGUUGUAGUGGUGACGUUGUCGAAAAUGUUAGGUGAGAGAAGAACAUAUCAUGUAUUCAUUUUCUAGCCAUCUAUAAAUUGUUUUUUUUAAAUAAAAACAUUAACAACAUUACAUGUAAAACUUGACCCCAAAAAUAAAUAAAUAAUUACAUGUAAAACAAUUGAGUGAUGGGGGCCAUUGCAUUAUUCCCCUUUGGAUUUAUGCAUGCAGGAGGAGCUAGUAGGCUUCGCAUUUAUGGGUAGAAUGGACAUUAUUGGACAACCUUAGGUAUGCAUAUAUAGGAAAACGUCCAAAAUCCAUAAAGUUGGGACGUACGUGGUGGUGCAUGCAUGUUGGUAUUUGAUAUUGAUAUUUUAUUCCCACCCAAAAUAUUACAAACGAAUGCAGUCAAAAAAUAACUCAAAACCAGUGCACACUCGCGUCACGUGCUUCUGCAGACACAAACUAGUAAGCAAUUCACAGAGGACAUAGCCACAGAGGGGGAGCAGAUCGAUGCAAAUUAUUAAGUUUUUCUUUAAGCCAAAAAACUCAGCACCGACAUGACUUAAUAAUUAAGAUUACCACAGUAUAUCGAUCUGAUACACUAUCAGAUAAACAAAAAACAAAACAACAAAUUACAGAAAUUGAUCCCUCAAGAAGUAGAUUUCACUUCCAAGCUUUCACAUGCUAUUAAUUAUUAGCUGACACAUAUUAUGCUAAUCAAUUAAACCACAGUGACCACUAAUUGGGAUAUUUAGAACUGUGCUGUGGUGAUGAUCAACUUCAACUAUGCAGGGCACUGGAAUCCAGAGGGUGGAGUUUUCCCACAGUCAAUCAGAACCUGAAGAGCGAUGGGGAUGAUGAUGUUGAUGUUGAGAAGCUUAGCCUUGAUGGUGGUGCAAAGGCAAAUUGCAGCAUCCAAGUCCACCAGCCCUUGAAGCACUGGACAGCAUGCAUCCUUGGCACUGCUGCCAAUUCCAAUGUGAAUGAGGCCACCCAACACAUCCACACAAGCUCCCAACUUGAGAGUGUCGAUGGGACACGUGUUCUUUGGUGGUGAUGGGGUUGGCACUGGUGUUGGUGGUGGUGGAGGAGGACAUGGUGUCUCAGUGGGUGGAGGAGGCUUAACUGGUACAACUGGGGUAGGUGUAGGUGUUGGUGGGCUUGGUGGUACAACAGGUGGUGAUGGUGGUGGCUUAACUGGUACAACUGGGGUAGGUGUUGGUGUUGGUGGGCUUGGUGGUACAACAGGUGGUGAUGGUGGUGGCUUAACUGGUACAACUGGGGGCUUGGGUACAUAGGGUGGUGGGGGUUGUACAACUGGGGGCUUGGGUACAUAUGGUGGUGGUGGUUGUACAACUGGGGGUUUGGGGAUGAAGGGUGGGUGCACAAUUGGGGGUUUAGGGAUAAAAGGUGGGUGCACGAUUGGGGGCUUGGGGAUGAAGGGUGGGUGCACAAUUGGGGGCUUGGGGAUGAAGGGUGGGUGCACAAUUGGGGGUUUAGGGAUGAAGGGUGGGUGCACAAUUGGGGGUUUAGGGAUGAAGGGUGGGUGCACAAUUGGGGGUUUAGGGAUGAAGGGUGGGUGCACAAUUGGGGGCUUGGGGAUGAAGGGUGGGUGCACAAUUGGGGGCUUGGGGUGGGGUGGUGGUUUGACAAUAGGAGGCUUGGGGAUGAAGGGAGGUCUCACAAUAGGUGGUUUGGGGACAGAAGGAGGUUUUGGUAUAUGGGGAGGAUAUACAAUGGGGGGUUUGGGGCCAUGAGGUGGCUUGGGUACAUGGGGUGGAUGAGGAUGAGGUGGCUUUGAUGGUGGCUUGGGAACAUAGGGAGGCUUUACAUGAGGGGGAUGGGGUGGUUUUGAUGGUGGUUUGGGAACAUAGGGAGGCUUUACAUGAGGAGGAAGAGGUGGUUUUGAUGGUGGUUUGGGAACAGAGGGAGGCUUUACAUGAGGGGGAUGAGGUGGGUGUUUAGGUGGUUUAGGGAUGAAGGGUGGCUUUACAUGAGGAGGCUGUUUGGGUGGCAAGUGUGGAGGGUAUGUUGGUGGUGGACAGUAGGAGUUAGCAAGAGAAGUGAGCAAACUACCCAAAUUCACAAUGAGGACUAAGAGCAAAGCCAGGGUAUAAUUCCCCAUGUUCAAAACUCCACAACCCUCAAAAGAGUUGGGUUGUUUAAGACCGGAUAUUGAAACCCAACACCAUGCAAAAGCCUUCUUAUAGAGAUAUGGUGAGACAAGUUGUGAGUGAGUAUGUACAUAAGAGAGAGAGAGAGAGAGAGAGAGAGAGAGAGAGAGAGAGAGAACACAAUCCUGUACCUUUCUUUGUGGUACCAACUAAAGAUAUAUAAAACUAUUAAUCUCUGUGCAUAAUUAAUUAAUUUGUCAAAUUGCCAAGAUGCACAUUGAAUUGAGGUCUCUCCAAACUCCAAACUUCAACUUGAUCAGUAUCAAAUUCACCACAAACAAAAGGGAGGAAUUGAGUCACUUUCUUCCUUUACAUUCAGAACCAAGUAGGGCACUGCAAUCACUGACUUAAACUGUAGACAAAAGUAUUCAGCUUUUAAGGAGAAAAGGAUCAAGAAAACGCGGUUUUGUGAUAGAGGCAAGUUUUAACAUGUAGUGAGAGCCUUGCAAGUGACUAUUCAACCCGUGAUUGAGGUUUUGAUGCCAAGCCACAUGUGAGGCUUUCAUUGACAACAUUUUCUUGCAUUAAAAAAUUCUAAGGGUACAAAAGAGGCCUUAGACUUUUUCUACUUAAAGCACAUGGUUUUUCCUUUUUUCAUUUUUUGGGGGUUUUCUCCCGAAUAGACGAGUCCAUUAAUGCUACAAUGUUUUAGUCUAAGAAAUAUUCCUAUAUGAAUAGACCGUACAAUUGUAUUUGAGUGUCGGUUAUCUUAAUUUAUUAUUUUUUAUAUAAACGAUAUUGUAUUUUAAUUUAAUCCAUACUAUAAAAAGAAUUAUUUAAAUUUAGAUACAAAAUAAAGAACACAUUUGUUCUAACUAACUUAAUUAAUCCUAUGUGUGCAAUUAUUUUUUACAAUUAAACAACUCGAUUUGAUGUAGGAAUUUUCCUUGUACAAUUUAACUUGCUCGCUUUGCAAUUUCAUUUCAAAAAAGUAUAUGCAUGGCCUAGCCAUCAUGUCUUUCAAAUCAACAGCUCAUCAUAGGGCAUCUUUUUAAAAUGAGGGUAAUGCUGGCUUCACAUGCAGCUGCACAAUAAUUUCAAGAAUUAUUAAUCGUACCUAGCAUUGUUAGCAAGACAUUUAGGGCUGUAAUUAUGUGAAAAGUGAUGUUCGCCGAAUCAAUUAUAUAAGGAGAACUUACUGCAAAACAACUCUGUGUGGAACCCAUCUACUUGUUCUUUGUUUUUUUUAGGUCUGAAGUCCAUCUACUUGUUCACUCCACGCCAUUGAAGUGUAGUCUAUCUAAAAUGGUAAGGGUGCCCUAGUUUAGGCGUAAGUACUAUGUGCAGGGUUUUGGGUUUUUCUUUGUAGACAAAAACCUAGAAGUAUCAUAUCUACAUUGUUCUGACUAUUAAAAAAUUAGACAAAGGGGUAAUGAUUAUGCCAAAAUGAAUUUCAACAUCACUUUCGACCGACAAAAUUUCAUUUGCUUAUAUCGAAGCUCGUAUUGAAAUUUAUUAAUUUUAACAAAGUUAGAAUAUGUCAUCUGUCACGUAAUUUGGUGAAUAAAUUUUAUCUUUCGGUGCCUCUACAAUAUUAAAGCAUCAAAUAGUGCAAAUCAUGACAUCUUAUUUCAACGUUCAUUAACAGACCUUCAUACAAUCAAGGCAUCGGAUGCAAGUAGGGUGGUAGAUUUUUUCCCCUUUUCAACCCAAUAAUAUGAGUUAAAACAAUUAUAUGUGGAACACAAUAACACCGCUUUAAUAAUUCUAUCUAAAAGGGUAUAUGCGACAGCUGGCCAAGAGGUAUAUUCCAUGUACACAAAAUGUUACUUUCAACUACAUGCCAAUAUUUCUACAGCGAAAAUUCCAAAUCAACAUGCAAAGGGAAAAUGAAAUGGGAUGUACUUGCUGUAGUGCCUGUUUGGAUAGAAAGAAAGGAAAAGAAAAGAAAAGAAAAUUCAUUUCUUGGAGAAACCAGAAAUUGAGUUUUUCGUCCUUAUUUUCGAAGUGUCGCAAUCAAGUUUUUUUGAUAUAUUGAUGAGUCAUCCAUUGUAGAAGAAAUGGCAUCCAUCAAAACCUGCCACCAUUAAAAUCCAUGCAAAUCCACUUGUUACAAUUAUAUGAAGUCACUUGUGCAAAGCGACAUAUGAAUUUAAAGGGCGAUAAAGCCGAUGUAAUAUAUGUAGGGUCAGGCUGAGACUACUUUGUCUCCAAAUCUUUAACCAAAUCUAAUUUAACACUAAUUAUUAUUGCUCACUACAUCAAGUAAGAAAGAUUAAUAGUAUUUUUCGGUGUGAAUGCAUAAACGUAUCUGUGGAUUCUUAUUAUUUCGAUGUGAGCUUACAGCUUAGCAUAUUAACCUCACUUCAUAUAAAAAUUAUCUCCAAUCCUGAGGUCUAACUUUAUAAAAAAAAAUGAAAAUGACUUUGUAGGUCCAAAUCAAAAUGCAACGUGCCGACAAACACGGACUUAGUCAAGUUGGUUAAAGUGAAUGUGCUAUUCUCACUUUGCAUUCGAUUUCAAAUUCCCCUCCUUAUGAUUUAGAUUAGAUCUAAGUAAAACAUUGCUUAUAUAUAAAAGCAAUAUGCAGCUGUAUGCAGAAGAUUUGGUUGAAUAAUUGCUCUAUAUAAAAUAAUAGGUAAAGUACCUUGAUUAUCUUUUUUCCAACAACCCUGUUCCCUAUAUCUGCCCAUUGUUUAUAUCAUAAUCAAUCAAUUAAUUGAUUAACAACACCAAAUUCUUGAUACCUUCAGCAAAGACACGAUAUUUUCUACCCAAUUUAGUUUGUCGUUUGAAGAAAAAGAAGAAGGAAAAAAAAAACAUUUAGUUUGUCAGAUCAUAUCUUAUAGCAUGAGUGUUAUAUUUAAAACUAUAUAAGAAGGGGCAAAAUUUGGACAUACUUGGAUCAACUGUAACAAUCAUGGCAGUCCCUCCAAAAUCACAAGUGCCACCGGCAGCCCUGGUGCUCUGCCAGUAGCUGUUGAAGGCGUACGAAGCGUGGGACAACAAUGUGUCUGGUUUAUAGCAGGACCCAUUGGGCUGGAUUGACUUGCAGUCUGCACCAGACCCACACGCAUAGUCCAGGGCCUCUUGGACUAUUGGGCCAGGCACGGCUGGCUUGGCCACACACCACACCGCGCCAGACUGUGGUGGCUUUUUUCGUGGAGGGCUUGUGGGCCCUGAUGGUGGAGGGUAAGCUACAGGUGGGGCCAAGGCUGGUGGGCCUGGGAUAGGCUUGGGUGGGGAUGGAGGAUUUUUGGGUGGGCCUGGAAUUGUGGUGGGUGGGCCAGGUGGGUGAGGGGUGGGCCCAUUUGCAGGUGGUGGUUUUG
rnacentral:lncRNA from 1 species